AUUGAACGCUGGCGGCAGGCCUGACACAUGCAAGUCGAGCGGAUGAAGGGAGCUUGCUCCUGGAUUCAGCGGCGGACGGGUGAGUAAUGCCUAGGAAUCUGCCUGGUAGUGGGGGAUAACGUCCGGAAACGGGCGCUAAUACCGCAUACGUCCUGAGGGAGAAAGUGGGGGAUCUUCGGACCUCACGCUAUCAGAUGAGCCUAGGUCGGAUUAGCUAGUUGGUGGGGUAAAGGCCUACCAAGGCGACGAUCCGUAACUGGUCUGAGAGGAUGAUCAGCCACACUGGAACUGAGACACGGUCCAGACUCCUACGGGAGGCAGCAGUGGGGAAUAUUGGACAAUGGGCGAAAGCCUGAUCCAGCCAUGCCGCGUGUGUGAAGAAGGUCUUCGGAUUGUAAAGCACUUUAAGUUGGGAGGAAGGGCAGUAAGUUAAUACCUUGCUGUUUUGACGUUACCAACAGAAUAAGCACCGGCGAACUUCGUG
rnacentral:rRNA from 1 species